GAGGAAUAUCCUGCGGCAAUUAGCAGACGUUGGUAGAGCCCUCCGAACCCCCGUGCUGGCUCCUGGCCACUGUGGAAAGCCCAGGAGAACUGGACAGACGUAGGGGAGCCCGCUGAACCCCUCCGCACACACCUGAACACUGUGGAAAGCCCUGUGUCACUGGAAAGGUACCUCCCGUUCCUGCACCAGGAAGAGAAUGACUCUUAGUACUGGAGAUGGCACUGACUUGAGCCUGCAUAAUAAACCUGACUGACUUCUUGGUCUAUUCAUGCUGCUGUGAAAAAGACCACGGACUGUGCAGCUGACAAACAACAGAUAAGUAUUUCUCACAUUUCUGGAGACUGG
ensembl:lncRNA